rfam:Trichobilharzia regenti genome assembly, scaffold: TRE_scaffold0027857
AUCCAGGAUGACGAGUCCCAAAUAGAACGAAAUGUGCAUCCUGGAU